rnacentral:tRNA from 1 species
UAUAGUAAAGUGUUUUUAGCAUUUUGUAUUUUGGUUGCAAAGGGGAUUUAGUUUCUAUUAUAU